UCCUUCAUCUCUGCUUGGGUUUCGAUGAUCAUUUUCUUCUUGAUUUUUCUAUUUCUCUGCCCUGAGUUUUUGAUAAUCGAUUGUUUGUAUAAUGCUUAAUGUACCUAUUCAACUCAUUUCUUACGUCGUUAAACCUAAAUAUCCAUUCAACUCAUUCCUUGUAUAAUGAUAAGGUAAACACUAUAUUGAAUUUCAUGGACCUUGUUUUUUAUUGAGCUGUCUAUGCACAUACCAAAUAAAAAUAACUGCUUAUUGCUAUAUGUUAGCACCACACACCUUACUUCGGUCAAGGUAAGAUAAAUGCUUCUGAUCUGUUAUAAAAGGUUGUUAGAAACAUGAUUAAUGCGAAUGGGUAGCGUAAUUUGAAGUAGAUGAGGAAGACGAGGAAGAGGCAGAGGUUUUGAGGCUGCAAAAUGAAAAAAAAACAAGGUUAUAUUCAAAUGCAGACCAUGGUCUUGAAGAUGACGAGGAAGAUGAGAGUGAAGGAGAACCAACGUUUGAGGAGAAUCUGAGAAAAGGAAAAGUUACAUCAAAAGAUACUGUGGGCCAUGGUGCCCAAGAUGAAACUGACACUGGAUAUGAGGUAGUCAUGAAGGAUCCAAAUUCUUUGUCAAAAGAAGAACAAAUGGACAUUGUAUACAAUUCUGCUCCAUAAUUAGUUGGUUUGUUGUCAGAGCUAAAUGAAGCGGUGGAACAACUUGAGACCAAAGUUGAUCCAAUUUUAAGCAAGCUCAAAGAUGAUAAAAAUUUAAAUAAAACAGGGAUACAAUAUAUGGAGCUGAAGAAGCAACUUCUAUUAUCAUAUUGCCAAGCAAUUACUUAAGCCAAUACAUGAUUAAUCAUUGGGAUGAACUUCAGCCUCAUGCUAAAUUCAGUUCAGAUUCUACCAAGUAUGGAUUCUUAAGUUACCAUCCAUGCAUAUAUAUUGCUAUUAAGGGGCCAUUUACCAAACAUUUACUCGUUUUUGUGUUAAAACGAGCAAGGAUGAUCAAGAAGGGAAGUUGUGAUUCAAAUGUGGCCAAUGAGGGGGUGAUAGGAAUACUUUUAUUCCUGUCAAAUGAUCUUGUCCAAGUGGUUGCCAAGGGAUUCAGUGUGAAAGAAAGUUUUUGUUAGAGGAGGUGGUUCCAUCGAACAAUACGUGGUUGGAUAUGCAGACAAAGCCCCUACUGAACUAGCUUAAACAAUCAAUUUAGUUGAUGGAACUGCAUUUUAUUUUAAAUUUGAUAAGCUACUAAGUUGUAAAUUUUCCUCUUCAAUUUGCAUCCCGCCACAUUGCACGGGCA